rnacentral:tRNA from 1 species
GCCGGGAUAGCUCAGUUGGUAGAGCAGACGACUGAAAAUCCUCGUGUCACCAGUCAAA